rnacentral:rRNA from 1 species
GAAACGGUAGCUAAUACCGCAUAACGUCGCAAGACCAAAGAGGGGGACCUUCGGGCCUCUUGCCAUCGGAUGUGCCCAGAUGGGAUUAGCUAGUAGGUGGGGUAAAGGCUCACCUAGGCGACGAUCCCUAGCUGGUCUGAGAGGAUGACCAGCCACACUGGAACUGAGACACGGUCCAGACUCCUACGGGAGGCAGCAGUGGGGAAUAUUGCACAAUGGGCGCAAGCCUGAUGCAGCCAUGCCGCGUGUAUGAAGAAGGCCUUCGGGUUGUAAAGUACUUU